AUUUACAACAAAAACAAGUGUCAAACAUUGUCAACAUUCUGUGUACUCGUUAUGCACCUUUGUGAUUUGUUUUCCAAUAUAAACAUAAAUCAGAAACGAACAUAGGUCCAAUUUAUUUGCCAAAAAACCGGUCAAUUCGAUGAUUUUCAUUGUGUUUGCUAGAAACCAGCUCGAAUAAUCGAUAUAUUCUGUCAUUGGCAUAAGUUGAUUGAAGUUUGCGCGUUCAAGUCGACCAUAACCUCAACUCGGAAGUGAUUUGUCUUUGCGAUUCAUUGAAAGACAAUUCAUAGGCGAUUCAUCAGAAACAAAACAUCAACUUCAACUGAUUUAUCGACGACAAUCCAAAAUGUCAGAUGUUCAAGCAUCGUCAAUGGGCUUUGAAAACCAGGCACUGUUAACCGGUUUGGGAAGAUUGUACAUGAAUGCCACAACAUCUGACGUGAACUUCAUUUUCAAGCUCGUUGAUGAUCAGGAAGAAAGUGUUCCAGCUCAUAAAAACCUGUUGGCAAUCAGAAGUGAUGUGUUCCAUGCAAUGUUUUACGGGGAAGUUAAGGAAAAGGCUGAUGUUAAGAUCGUGGACACUUCAUCAGCCGCAUUCAAAGAGUUCAUGAAAUUCUUCUACCUCGACAAAGUUCAUGUGACUAUGGAAAAUGUGGCCAGUGUCAUGGAUCUGGGUGAAAAGUACAACGUUGCUGCCUGUUUGGAUGCGUGCGUCGAAUUGUUGACGAAGAAUCUCACCGUCGAGAAUGCAUGUUUCAUCUAUGCACUUGCGAUUCUCUACAAGAAAAGGGAACUCAAACGACCUUGCGAGGAGAAAAUAACCGAGAACACUGAGGCUGUAUUUGCAUCGAAAAGCUUUUUGGAUAGCCCAAAGUCGGUUCUAUGCCAGAUUUUGGAACUCGACAAUUUGUCCUGCUCAGAAGCGGAUGUGUUUAAAGCGUGCAUGGCUUGGGUGAAGUCAGCAAGUGGCGAGAAAACAAUAACGAAGGAAGACGUUCAACAGCAUCUAGGUGAUCUAUUCUACGAAAUUCGUUUUCGGUCGAUGACAUUCCAAGAAUUUUCGGAUCUCAUUCCAACGUAUGGCCACGUAUUUUCGGUUAACGAAACCGAAAUGUUCACGACGAAGACUCGCCAGAAAUAUGUAAACAGAGACAUGACCAUUGAAUGCAAUCGGGUGCUGGAAUAUACAACAAAACCGUAUUUUUUCCGUUCGGUUGAAACAACAACAUUCUCAACAAACGAAGCAGUGAUUAUCACGGAGUUGGUCAUCACACGCUUGUGUGUAUUCCGAGAUGGACAGUGGAGAGAUGACCAGAUCAAUCAUCUUCCUGCCGAAAUUACAGUCUUGCAGAUUUCAGUCGACAAAGGUGCAACAACAUGUCUAUCGAAACAAACGGCACAGUUGCGUUGCGAAGAUGGGACACAUGGCACAAUCGUGACUUUGUCAAAGCCAAUUUUUACUCAACCUGGAAAUGACUACAAAAUCCAAUUGAAAAUUGCAACCACUGAACACUUUUAUAAAGCACCCGUGCUAAAAACAGAAGUGCAACUUGAACCAAAUAUCGUCUUUCAAUUUCGCGCCGAUGCGAAGAUGAGCAACACAAAACUCCCAUUAUCGCCAAUAAUUGCUCUUCGGUUUGCUCCAAUGAAUGAUGCCUUAAAACGAGAUGGAAUACCUUAAUUUAGUUACUUUACAAUGUAAAACAUAGCCUAAUUUUAGGAUAUUCGAAAUUAUUCAUUAAAUCAAAAUGAGAAAUGUACAUUCACCGAACUAAACCGAAUAAAAUACGUAUGUUGUAGAAAAAAUAUUCACUUUGCAAUAAAACUAGACAAACGCUUCAUUCUAAUUUCUGUGAAUUCAGGUCGUUUUGAACUUCCCUGUAAAAUGUAAAGAAAAUUUAGUUCUAAUAAUGAUGAAAAUCUCAAAAAUAAAUUGAAAAAGACACAAUUUUAAGAAUAAACUUCAGAAAAUCAUCAUAUUAGUGUAUGUUUCUAGUUGCUGGUGGCAGAUUCAAAAGUUCAACAACAUCUUAUUACAUUUUGAUAUUAUUCAUGGCUGGAAUUUGUUUUCAUUGCGUUGGAAAAAUGAAUGAAGAAUAGAAAAACGAUAGAAAAAGAAUUCUUAUUAGAAAAAAAAAAACUAAUCAAAAAUAUCUAUCCCAAAUUUUUCUUUAUUUGCCUUUGAAAAUAUCCUUGGAUGGUCUAAAACAUGGCAUAAAACUGAGGAUUGUUUUUAUCAUUUUAAUUCUAAUUUGAAAAUGUACAACGUCCAAUGACAAAAUAGCUGUGACUUGAAAUUCUGCUUCAAUUUAAUAACAUUCUCAUUUUCUCUGCAGCACAUUUUUUCAAGUUUGACCGCCAAGUUUUGAACGUACUCUUCAUUCUACGUUCACCUACCUUUCAAUCGGAAUAGUGAAUUGAGCGCGAUAAAUAGCUCCAUACAUUUACAACAAAAACAAGUGUCAAACGUCAUCAACAUUUUUGUGUAUUCAUUGUGCUGGAUUGUGCGUUGUUGUGAACAAUUUGUGAUUUCAAUAAAUGUAAACUGACUCUAAUCGAAUUUUGUGCCCUAAAGACGAUAAAUCUGACGAAAUUUUGUUCUGUUUUUCGGAAACAAACUCGAAUAUUGGAUAUUUCUUCAUUAACAUAAGCUAAUUGAAAAUCGAUUCAGCGUUCAAGCCGACCAUAACCUCAACUCGGAAGUGAUUUGUCUUUGCGAUCCAUUGAAAGCUGAUUCGAAGGCGAUUCACAACCCUCAGAACACCAACUGCAACCGAUUCACCGACGACAAUCUAAAAUGUCAGAUCAUCAAACACCAGGAAUUGACUAUGAAAACAAGGCACUGGCAGGCUAUUUGGAAAAAUUAUACAUGGAUGCCACAACGUCUGACGUGAAAUUCAUCUUCAAGCUCGCUGACGAUGAGGAAGAGAGUGUUCCAGCUCAAAAAAUCCUGUUGGCGGCAAGAAGUGAUGUGUUCCAUGCAAUGUUUUACGGUGAAGUUAAAGAAAAGGCUGAUGUCAAUAUUGUGGACGCUUCACCAGCCGCAUUCAAAGAGUUCAUGAAAUUCUUCUACCUCAGCAAAGUUCAUGUAACCAUGGAAAAUGUGGCCAGUGUCAUGAAUCUGGGAAAUAAGUACAACGUUGCUGCCUGUAUGGACGUGUGCGUCGAAUUGUUGACAAAGAAUCUCACCAUCGAGAAUGCAUGUUUCAUCUAUGGACUUGCGAUUCUCUACAAGCAAAAGGAACUCAAACGACUUUGCGAAGAGAAAAUAACCGAGAACACCGCGGCUGUAUUUACAUCGAAAAGCUUUUUGGAUAGCCCAAAGUCGGUUCUACGCCAGAUUUUGGAUCUCGACAAUUUGUCCUGCUCAGAAGCGGAUGUGUUCAAAGCAUGCAUGGCUUGGGUGAAAUCAGCAAGUGGAGGUGAAACGGUCACGAAGAGAGAGAUUCAGCAGCAUCUCGGCGAUCUAUUCUACAAAAUUCGUUUUCGUUCGAUGACAAUCCAAGAUUUUGCCGACCUCAUUCCAACGUUUGGUCAUGUAUUUUCUUCUAAAGAACACAAAGAAUGCGUUCAGAUGAUCGGAUCGAAAGAUUUUCGACCUAAAAUAUUUACUGCUGAAAUUCGCCAGCCACAUGUGAACAAUUACAAGAUCAUUGGAUGCAAUCGGGUUUUGACAUAUACAACAAAAUAUUUUCCUUUAAUUCACUUUUCAGUACCAUACUCAACAUUCUCAACAAAUACACCAAUUAUGCUCGUGGAAUUGGUUUUCGCUAGCCUGCGUAUUCGUCGCGAAGAUAAAUGGAGAGAUGACCUGAUGAACCAUCUCCCAACCGAAAUAACAAUCACUCAGAUUCCAGACGACAAAGGCGAUACAAAAAUUGUAGCGAAACAAACAGCACACUUGCGAUGUGAAGGUGGUACAGUUGUGAUUCUGUCAAAACCAAUUUGGGCCCGGCCUGGAAAUAAGUACAAAAUCCAAUUGAAGCACUCAUUCAUUGGACACCACUAUAAAAUGUCGGUUCUGAAAACUGAAGUCGAAAUUGAACCCGAUAUCAUCAUUCAAUUUCACAACGAUCCGAAAACAAAUGAUGCAACAACACUUCCAUUGUCACCGAUAAUUGAUCUUAGAUUUGCUCGAAUCGUUGAGUGAGUCGAUGAAACAUGAUCGAAUUCUAAAAAAUAACUGCGAUACUCUGUAAACUUAAAACUAACUGUAAUUUUCUCAGUGCUUGAAUCAUAAUGUACAUUGUACACUCGUUCUAUUUAAUACUGCCCAAUAUUUGAAAAUAAUACAUACAUUAUACCCCAAAUAAUUCCAUUCUAAUUUGAAAUGUCCAAUUAUAAAAUAGCUGAAACUAAAAAUUCUACUUCAUUUUAAUCAAAUUCUAAAUUUAAAUUUUUCAAAUUUGACCGCUGAGAUGUGAACGCAUCCACUCUGCAUCUUUCAAUCGGAAUAGCGAAUCGAGCGCGAUAAACACCACCAUACAUUUACAACAAAAACAAGUGUCAAACAUUGUCAACAUUCUGUGUACUCGUUGUGCAGCGCACCUUUGUGAUUUGUUUUCCAAUCAAUAAACAUAAAUCAGAAACGAAAA